GAGGGGACCCCCAACAGGAGAAUCUCUGAGGAGGACGGAGCGGAUCGACGAGCUUGACUUUGGCAUCCCUUGGGAGGGCAGGCAUCGAACUCCUGAAAGCAGGGCUGCAGUCUCCAGCGAAAGCAGCCUCCUGUUUGUUAAAAAGCAGAGCCUCUGCUGAGAGACGGUCUUGUCGGAGUUAGUGAGACUGAGCAGACCGUGUGGAGUUGCAGAGCGCGGAUUCCUCUCUGUCUCUCUUUCUCUCUCACACACACACUGUGGGCAGACACGGACUGAGACUGGAGAGAAAGAUUUCCUUCCACCUAUUGAAUUUUUGACAAAUCCUUCGGGGGAGCUGCUUUCCUCUCUCUCUCUCUCUCGCUAUCUCUUUUAUUUGGUGUGUGUGGUUGGAACUCCGGGACUGGCUGCGGGAAUUUCUGGGAGCUUUCUGCGUUUUCUCCAGCAGUGCAGAGCCACGAACACUGAGGUGAAAGAAAACCAGCAAAGCUGACAUUAGCCUGAGGCGUCUGCUGAAGUGUGGAUGAAUGUCACAAGCAAUUGAAGCCGAAAUGGGGCCAGUGCUGACUGUGACUGAACUGAACUUGUGCAGAUGGACAGAGUGAGAGGGAGCCUGCCAGGGGAAGGAACAGGACGUGACCCCUUCACACGAAGGCAGCGGUGAGAGUGGGAGAACGUGGAAUCCCCCACCACCCCAAAUUAAAGGAUGCUCACGAGAAGCUGGCGUUCGGGAUUGGAAAAAGAAUUGGGGCCUGUGUCAGCACAUCCACGAUCAAACCAUCUCCACAAACACUUCACUUACCUGAUGUGAAUCCUCUAUCACUCAGCUCCCUUGGGCCUCGCUGAAGAAUUUAAAUAGGGAGGAAGAUAUCAAAAUACUCAACAAAGACAGCCUGGCGUGAAUAUAAGAUUACAGCCUGCUCUGCCAGACAGUGUCUCAGCUGACAGAAAUUUGGACAAGUGAAUUAUCCUCUCACUCUGGACAGAGAGUGCAGG